UACUAAGUGACUUUUAAAUUCCAACU
rnacentral:piRNA from 1 species